rnacentral:rRNA from 1 species
CCAGACUCCUACGUUAUUCAGCAUUGGGGAAUAUUUCACAAUUUUUGAAACCCUGAUGCAGCGACGCCGCUUUAUUGAAGAAGUAUUUCGGUAUGUAAAGCUCUAUCAUCAGGGAAGAUAAUGACGUUACCUGACUAAGAAGCCCCGGCUAACUACGUGCCAGCAGCCGCGGUAAUACGUAGGGUGCAAGCGUUAUCCGGAUUUACUGGGUGUAAAGGGUGAGUAGGUGUCAGGGCAAGUCAGAUGUGAAAGACCGGGGCUCAACACCGGUACUGCAUUUGAAAAUGUCAAGAUGGAGUGAAGGAGAGGUAAGAGGAAUUAAUAGUGUAGAGGUGAAAUGAGUAGAUAUUAGGAGGAAAAACAGUGGCGAAGGAGGAUUAAUGGAAUGUAACUGAAAAUGAGGAAAGAAAGAGUGGGGAGAAAAAAGGAUUAGAUACAAGCGUAA